rnacentral:rRNA from 1 species
CCUACGGGUGGCUGCAGUAAGGAAUAUUGGUCAAUGGACGAAAGUCUGAACCAGCCAUGCCGCGUGGAGGAUGAAGGUCCUCUGGAUUGUAAACUUCUUUUAUAUGGGACGAAAAAAGGCCUUUCCAGGUCGUCUGACGGUACCAUAUGAAUAAGCACCGGCUAACUCCGUGCCAGCAGCCGCGGUAAUACGGAGGGGGCCAGCUUUAUCCGGAUUCACGGGGGUUAAAGGGGGUGUGUAUGGGUUGGGUGAAAUCCCCGAGCUUAACUUGGGAACUGCCAUUGAUACUAUCAGUCUUGAAUACCGUGGAGGUCAGCGGAAUAUGUCAUGUAGCGGUGAAAUGCUUAGAUAUGACAUAGAACACCAAUUGCGAAGGCAGCUGGCUACACGAGUAUUGACACUGAGGCACGAAAGCGUGGGGAUCAAACAGGAUUAGAUACCCCAGUAGUC